rnacentral:rRNA from 1 species
AUAGCCGACCUGAGAGGGUGAUCGGCCACAUUGGGACUGAGACACGGCCCAAACUCCUACGGGAGGCAGCAGUAGGGAAUCUUCGGCAAUGGACGAAAGUCUGACCGAGCAACGCCGCGUGAGUGAAGAAGGUUUUCGGAUCGUAAAACUCUGUUGUUAGAGAAGAACAAGGAUGAGAGUAACUGUUCAUCCCUUGACGGUAUCUAACCAGAAAGCCACGGCUAACUACGUGCCAGCAGCCGCGGUAAUACGUAGGUGGCAAGCGUUGUCCGGAUUUAUUGGGCGUAAAGCGAGCGCAGGCGGUUUCUUAAGUCUGAUGUGAAAGCCCCCGGCUCAACCGGGGAGGGUCAUUGGAAACUGGGAGACUUGAGUGCAGAAGAGGAGAGUGGAAUUCCAUGUGUAGCGGUGAAAUGCGUAGAUAUAUGGAGGAACACCAGUGGCGAAGGCGGCUCUCUGGUCUGUAACUGACGCUGAGGCUCGAAAGCGUGGGGAGCAAACAGGAUU